AGAAAAGGAAAGGUUUCUCCGAAACGUGAAGAUGACAUGUGACCGGCGUGCUAGUUUCCUUUU
ensembl:ncRNA F34H10.6 ncRNA